rnacentral:misc_RNA from 1 species
UUCCCUUGUCAUCUUCACCGUCCAAAGAAGUUUUCUGCGAAGAGCACCCCUCCGAUUCGUCGUCCCUUCUCCGAUCAGGGGAGUCAUUCAAGUCCCACAUUUUUUUUUCUCUCCCUCAAUGGAGAAUGAAAGACGAAAAUUUUGAUGAGCUGAAUAAGACUAAGAGUUAAUGCAAAUAUUAUUGAGAACCCUCUUAAGUCUUAACAUGGAAGUCUAGAAUUAAGGGUGGUGGCCAUGGCAACUAAACAAAGUUUCUUUCUUUAGCCCUUGUGAAUAAAAUAUAUAAUGAUGUGCAUAUAAAGAAACCCACAUAGAGGUUUUGGACUUUGAGUAUUCAAAGGAUAGCUAAACCUACGACUCACUGAGAGAGAGAGAGAGAGAGAGAGAGAGAGAGAGAGAGUUUGCAAAAAGGUAGCAGGGGAGAUGUUUCAAUAUCUUGUAUCCCUUAACUGCCCAAUACCGCAUAGACGAGGCCAGUUUGAGCUUUAAAGCUUUUAAGCCGAAAGCAAUCUCAAUUCUCAAUUUCUCACCCACCCAACCCCUCUCUUUCUCUCUCUCUCGAUGACUUUUUUUAUUAAAGAAAUGUGUGACAAUCAUAAAUUUUGA